UAUUACAUUUAAAAUUAGCGUUUUUUGGUUCUCUGUUUUUUUGGGACAGCUACGCUAGUCCGUUUUAGCGAUUUUUGCAAGAACACCCGCGGAUAGUCAUGUUAAUCGGUGUCAAGACAGUAGAAAAACUUAAAAACGACUGCAGAGUCAAAAACUCUGAAAGAACUCUCAUAUACGUCAGAGAUACAAAAAGGCACUGACAAGAGGCACUUGAUAUUGUGGCACAAACACACUCAACUAUUUCAAGUGGAUUUUAGCCCUUUAUAAUUUCGUUAUCAUUCAAAGACCCUUCCAGAGUUGAAAGUGCAUCAUUUGACAUUUGGCUGUGGAGCUUUGUCGGUUUUUGUGAUUGAGACUCCUGGAAUGCGGUCUGCUCCCGAGGCCGAGGGAUAUAUAGCUAAUUUUGUUUUCCCGAGAGUCUGGCAAUAUUUCCGGAGACGAAGUCGAGGGAAACAUUGAGAUUCGAGGGGAAACCUAACAAGACUAACUAUUUCCGCCAGGCCUGUAUUUUCGGUUCAGGCCUGUAUUUUGGUUCGCAUACUAUAACUAUAGAAUAGCAUUACGUAUACUACACACGUAAAAACGCACACGUUGUUACAGGUCUGCAAACAAGUUGCCAUGUUACAAAUCUGUUCACAAGCUGUCGACAAGUUGUACUCACACUACUUGUUCCCAGUUGUUGUAAAAGUUUGGAACAAGCUGUUAACAACUUGGAACAAGCUUGAUGCCAUUAUCAGACUUGUUAAAUGGCUGCACGUUCUAACAAGUGUGAUACAGCCGUGAUGAUAACAAGAAUGUUACAAGGUUGACGACGCAAGGUGGUAACAAUAUUGUUAUAUUAUGACCAUUUCGGACUUGUUGGAACAGCAUUGCAACAAGUCCGAUAAUAUCAAAAAGCUUGUUACAAGCUGUUACAAUAAUUAACAACUUGUAACAAGCUUGAUGGAAACUUGAGACAAGCAGUACGAACUCAACUUGUUGACGAAUUGUUGGCAGACGUGCAACAAGACGUGAGAUUUUUGCGUGUGUUUUGCAUUAUGCCCAUGUACGUUACAUGCAGUAGACCUAUUCCCUAAUGAACAAAAUUUUGAUAUAGACAAGCUAGUGUAGACAAAAAUUUCAUCACAGCUUGAAAGAGCAUUACAAAAUUAGUAAUAUUCCAAAGUUUCGCUGCGAAAUGUUGUAAAAUGCGGAUAAUAUAGCCUUGCGAAGUUUGCCGUUUUUCAGUCAUUUUGUAUUACGCACGGGAAAUUGAUACCUAGCUUUUUUAAGACUUGUCUAGAUCAAAAUUUUGUUCAUUAGGUAAUAGGUCCGUUGGCAGCAAAAUUUCAAUCUUCGGAUUUAUAGGGACGCAACUAUACCUGAAAAAUACAAGGAGAACUUCGACGUUUCGAGCGAAGGCCCUUCGUCGGAAAAUAUAGUGACUAACUUUC